rnacentral:rRNA from 1 species
AGAGUUUGAUCCUGGCUCAGAUUGAACGCUGGCGGCAUGCCUUACACAUGCAAGUCGAACGGCAGCGCGGGGGGUAACUCCUGGCGGCGAGUGGCGAACGGGUGAGUAAUAUAUCGGAACGUGCCCUGGAGUGGGGGAUAACUAGUCGAAAGAUUAGCUAAUACCGCAUACGAUCUACGGAUGAAAGUGGGGGAUUCGCAAGAACCUCAUGCUCGUGGAGCGGCCGAUAUCUGAUUAGCUAGUUGGUAGGGUAAAAGCCUACCAAGGCGACGAUCAGUAGCUGGUUUGAGAGAACGACCAGCCACACUGGGACUGAGACACGGCCCAGACUCCUACGGGAGGCAGCAGUGGGGAAUUUUGGACAAUGGGGG